ACUGGGGGGGGGGGGUGUCCCCUCAGCCCAGAUUGUGAGAGGGCGCAGGCCAGGCCGAGGGACCCCACUAGUGCACG
rfam:Myotis lucifugus cont2.27821, whole genome shotgun sequence.